rnacentral:rRNA from 1 species
CCUACGGGAGGCAGCAGUGAGGAAUAUUGGUCAAUGGGCGGAAGCCUGAACCAGCCAAGUAGCGUGCAGGAUGACGGCCCUACGGGUUGUAAACUGCUUUUAUACGGGAAUAACGCGCCUUACGUGUAGGGCUUUGCAUGUACCGUAUGAAUAAGGACCGGCUAAUUCCGUGCCAGCAGCCGCGGUAUUACGGAAGGUCCGGGCGUUAUCCGGAUUUAUUGGGGUUAAAGGGAGCGUAGGCCGCAUGUCAAGCGUGCUGUGAAAUGUCCGGGCCCAACCCGGGCCUUGCAGCGCGAACUGGGCUGCUUGAGUUCCCGGAAAGCAGGGGGAAUUCGG